rnacentral:tRNA from 1 species
GGAGGUUUGGCAGAGUGGUUUAUCGCUCCUGCUUGCUAAGCAGGUAAUCCGAAAGGGUUCAGAAGUUCGAAUCUUUUAACCUCCG